rnacentral:misc_RNA from 1 species
UGACUACUGGCAGGAUCAACCAGGUAGCACUCCUCGAUCGACAUCAGCACGCAUGAGCCCUUCCGAAUUACAAAAGGGUCAACUCGUGCUUAAUUGUCGUCCGUGCUUAGCGUAAAACGCUACAUUGGGUGUGCAACACAAUCGUGUCCACUCCCACUCAACAUUCCGCAUCCCAGGGCACAACCAAGGACCAUUACCCUUUCUGAAGUGCUUGAUUUAGCAUAUUCAGUGGCUAACGGACUUGAUUUUGUAGGUUCACCAGACACCCCCCUAAGGAUGUAGGGCGAAGAACAUAACUUCCAAGGCAACCAAUACCAUCAAUAGGAAUUCAACACAGGAAACCACAUGUUGCCCAAGGCUAAUUGCACUUGAGCAAACAAUGAAGAGGUAUGCUAGCAAAAGCAAAGAGCCCGCCAACCACACAAACCAAAUACCACUCAUACGCUUCCCGUACCGCUUUGCUUCGACCAACCCAUGAACCAUGACGAUAAAUUAAAUUUUUCGACAUGGCCCAAAGUGACCUCCGCUAGCACCGUUAGGCGUGAAAGAAACAUCCUAGGGACAAAGCCCUCACCCCGAAGGGAUCAUUGAGCAACCUAACAAU